rnacentral:rRNA from 1 species
UACGGAGGGUGCGAGCGUUGUCCGGAAUCAUUGGGCGUAAAGGGCGCGUAGGUGGCCCGGUCAGUCUUUGGUGAAAGCGCGGGGCUCAACCCUGCGUCGGCCAGGGAUACUGCCGCGGCUCGAGCACUGUAGAGGCAGGCGGAAUUCCGGGUGUAGCGGUGGAAUGCGCAGAUAUCAGGAGGAACACCGGUGGCGAAGGCGGGUCUCUGGGCCGAUACUGACGCUGAGGAGCGAAAGCGUGGGGAGCGAACAGG